UCUUGAUGAUGACGACACAUAUAUGCGCCGGAAGAAAACAAAAGAUAUGUCGGAACCACGACGUGCGAGAAUAAGGAGAGGCCGAGUGGACUUUUUACAUGGAGGAUUGACAUUAACUUCACGGAGAAGAUGGACACUAACUUUACGUGGAAGAUGGACAUUAACUUCACGGAGAAGAUGGACAUUAACUUCAGGGAGAAGAUGGACAUUAACUUCAGGGAGAAGAUGGACACUAACUUCGCGGUGAAGGAAAGACAGAACAGCGAACUGCUGCUCCCUGCACCAUUCAAAGUAAACUCUAGAGGGACUAUUGUGGUGAAAAUCUCAAGAGAUCAGCAGUUUCACAAAUACUGCAGCCAGCAAUCGUGUCUCGGUCAGAGUUACUGAAAGCAAACUUUUCCCAUUUCUGAUGUUUGAUGUGAACGUGAACUGAAGCUUCUGAGCUGUGUGUGCAUGGUUUCAUGCAUUGCUGCUGCAGGAUUGACCAGUUAGAUUAUUGAUUGAAUGAGCAGGUGUACAUGUGUGUAAAACGUAUGUAAUUUUGUUUAAGGAGGUAUUUUGACUGCUCAGAUUGUUUAAAUAUUUUAAAAUUAACAAAAUGCUCAUCAGUUCACCGAGCAAGGCUGAAAAAGUGCAAAGAUUACAGUUAAUGAUGUAAUACUGGUGCUGUACCACUAGAGGAUGUUAGACUGCAAUCUCACACCAUCAGAGGUCACACAUUUUCUAUUUUUCUAUGAAAAUAAAAAUGUUUUAUUAACCUGCGGACAUUUACAUUAUAAAAAUGUACACUUCUUGGUGUUUUAUGAGCUGAUCCUAACAAGUAGUAGCUGUAGGGUUGAUGUAAUUCAUGACUACUUUCCAAAAAUAAUUCCAAAUAAAAAUACUGUUACCUGAACAAUGUAAUAGUUGUGGUAAAAUAUACAUUUUUUUGUAAGGUAAAUCUACAAAAUACAUUGUCAGAAAGUGAUAUGUCUUACUGUCAUACUUUUCCAUAAAAUGAGAGCACGUAAUAUUGUGGUUUUUCAUGUUAAGAGGGUGUUUUUUAUUAUUUGUGUUCAUGUCCGACACUUAAAAUGAGUAAAAGCUGAGGAUUUGAAUGAAUGAACUGUUUCUGAUACUUCAGUCAAGAUUACAAUCGAAGCACAGCUAGUUGUGGGAUUACGUAAUUCUCCAAGCCCAUUUCCUCUCAUUCAAGUUCAACUGCUUCCAGAUCAGACCAGAAAUAAACAGGAUUUGCUCUUGUUCCACAUGUUUUGGGCACAACUUUCCAU
ensembl:lncRNA